AUCCUCCCAACAACGGGGUGAAAUAGGCCUUACUUGCCCCCAUUUUAUAGCUGAGGAAACUGAGUUUCAGAGAGGUCAAGUAAUUCACUCAGGAUCGUAGAGCUGAUAAAUGAGAGCCAGGUUUUAAGCCUGCCUGUGUCUCUCUAAUCCAAAAUAUAUGUGCUCUCCAUUGUACUUCCUAUGCCUUAGAGAGACUGAUUAGUGAAAGGGAAACUAGGAAAUGCUUGAGUAUUUCCAGUCCUAAUAAUAUUCAGUUCAAAUUCCAGGAAGGGCAGUGAUUUUCAACCUUCUUAACUUUUCUGUUUUAAAUCUGCAAAAGAAAACCUGCCACAGACCAGAAAGGAGAAAGUUCCCCCUAAAUUGUGUCAAUCUUUGCAGAUAAUAAAGCAACUCUUUCACUUCUGCAGGAUUGUCAAGUGGGAUGUCCAAACCUGAGAAACAGCUAUUUGGUUCUUUACUCUGCCCCUGAAUAGAGUCGGAGCUUCAGGCUUCAGGGAGGGACAAUUGCCAUCAAAAGUCGUCAUGCCCGGGAGCAGGUGUUGCUCAGAAUUGUGAAGACGUUAUGAACCCAGGUGACUUGACUCAAGAGUUACAACCCCACUAAUGAGAAGUGAUUUUUGGCCAUGUUGAAGUCAUGACCGGUUUCCCUGGGAAGUCAACAGAAGUUUGGCAGGUGCGUGAGCUCUGCAGGGCAGAGAGCAAGAGGAGAGGUGAGCUCAGAAGGUAAUCGUAAAAUUUGGACACCUCUCUGCAGCUUUAAUGACUCAAACCUAAAAUAGUACUCAGGGAAAGACAGAGUUUGGAAGAAUUUUGAAUUGGGAGUUGGCUAUUUUGGUUGUUUUCUUCUGAUCUGGAAACACUGGGGGAGGGGUGGUUCUUCUACUGAAGUAAACAGGAAUUGUACACAAAGCAGGACUCACAUAAGAGUGAAGGGAUGUCCUACCAAUGCCCACGAUGACCCACUAACAUCCAGAUUUCUACAGUGGAGUUCCCUGGCCUUUACAUAUCAGUGGGCAAGUCCAUGAGAAACAAUGUGGCAGGUGGACUAAGGAAAAAUGGAAGCAUGAUGUGGAUUUUCUUUUCUUUGCAUCUCUUUGUUUUGAACAUACUGCUCUUUAUCAAAAUGCCUUUCUUCAAUUUCCUCAGCCCAGCAGUUUGAAUAUUUGCAUGAAGUAGGCACAUAUCACUACAUAUGAACCAUGAAAUGUAUUUGAAAAUAAAUGUUUUAAUUAAAAUUGACAUUUCUGAG
rnacentral:lncRNA from 1 species